rnacentral:rRNA from 1 species
CAGUCGCCGCGGUAACACGAAGGGUGCAAGCGUUAAUCGGAAUUACUGGGCGUAAAGCGUGCGUAGGCGGUGAGUUAAGUCUGCUGUGAAAUCCCCGGGCUCAACCUGGGAAUUGCAGUGGAUACUGGGUCACUAGAGUGUGGUAGAGGAUAGUGGAAUUUCCGGUGUAGCAGUGAAAUGCGUAGAGAUCGGAAGGAACAUCUGUGGCGAAGGCGACUAUCUGGGCCAACACUGACACUGAGGCACGAAAGCGUGGGGAGCAAACAGGAUUAGAUACCCGGGUAGUCCCUGUCUCUUAUAC